rnacentral:lncRNA from 1 species
AAAAGAUGGAAAAUCGGGGAGGCGGUGAGGAAAUUGAGGCCAAGAGAGAGGUAAAGAGUCGUGCUCUAGCCCAUGAAAGAAGGAAGCAACAGAGCCCAGAUUCAACUUCAGGUGUUUCUAACUCCAAAGCCUGAACCAAACUGCCUUCCUCUGAUUGGCAUUGGUACCUGGAACUUCACCUGUUCCAAGGAGCUGAUAUUUGCAAGGUGCCGUGGCUGAGGCAGGAGAAUCGCUUGAACCUGGGAGGCAGAAGUUGUGGUGAGCCAAGAUCGUGCCAUUGCACUCCAGCCUGGGCAAUAGAGGGAGACUCCGUCUCAAAAAAAAAAAAAAAAAAAAAAAAAAGCGGCAAAAGGCACCAAGACCCAGUGCUUCCCUGACCUCUGUUCCCUCUAAAUCAGCAUCUAUCACAGUAGAUCAACCUGGAUAAAGCCAGGAUUCACAGCAGAAGUGGCACCUCAGACACCAAAGCAGCUUUCCUUCUCAAAGCUUUUAAACAUCAUUGGGAAAACUUAGAGCAAAUCAAACCAAUGUUUUUCAAUACAUGGAAGGAAAGAUGUGUGUGCUUGGUUUUGUUUUUUGCUGAGACCCAAACAUUGUUAGUGCAAGCCCCCGCCAGGGGUGCAGGUGGAGUCAAAGCUGAAUGAAGAGCUCGUCUUCAAUGUAGCUCUCCAAGCUUUCAGAGCAAGACAACCAUGGACCAUCCUCUUCUUCAGACUGGCCUGUCUUCUUCUUGAACAAUGUCACUUUGCUCCUCACUGCUGUCAU